AAAACUUUCAACUAUUUCUAUUUCUUCUGUGGCAUUUCAAAGUGCACUGUACCUCUCAGACCAGAUCUUAGUCGUAGAGGAAAUCUGAUCUGCUGCAGCACGGAAACAUCAGCCGUGGGAUGGCGAGACAAAUUCCUUAGGGAGCUGCCUGUAAGUCUGGUCAACAUUUAAGAUGAAAAGUUUUGCAUUUUCUUUGGCAGGAUGUUGCAUGCAGAGUUUAGCUGUAUGAGGCAAUUGCUGAGGCAAUAAGGGAAUAUUUAGGAGCA
rnacentral:lncRNA from 1 species